rnacentral:rRNA from 1 species
UCCAGACUCCUACGGGAGGCAGCAGUGAGGAAUAUUGGUCAAUGGGCGCGAGCCUGAACCAGCCAAGUAGCGUGAAGGAUGACUGCCCUACGGGUUGUAAACUUCUUUUAUAAAGGAAUAAAGUGAGGCACGUGUGCCUUUUUGUAUGUACUUUAUGAAUAAGGAUCGGCUAACUCCGUGCCAGCAGCCGCGGUAAUACGGAGGAUCCGAGCGUUAUCCGGAUUUAUUGGGUUUAAAGGGUGCGUAGGCGGUCCGUUAAGUCAGCGGUAAAAUUGCGGGGCUCAACCCCGUCGAGCCGUUGAAACUGGCAGACUUGAGUUGGCGAGAAGUAUGCGGAAUGCGUGGUGUAGCGGUGAAAUGCAUAGAUAUCACGCAGAACUCCGAUUGCGAAGGCAGCAUACCGGCGCCCAACUGACGCUGAAGCACGAAAGCGUGGGUAUCGAACAGGAUUAGAUACCCUGGUAU